rnacentral:lncRNA from 1 species
GAUCCAGUACCUUAAACCUGAAAGUGGACAUGCAUUGUUAAGGACUGAUGAUGUUAUCAACUACAUAGAGAAAGAAGCUCUGAUCUACACAUGUUUUGAAAGCAGCUUCAUUAAGACUUGGAUUCCUUGCAUUCUCAGACUAUUUGUGUUCUCAUGAAUAAGGAAGAGAAUUUUAAACAGGUGGGAGAGUCCUAGUGCAUUUUGUAAAUGUUUUUCAUUUUAAUAAGAAUGUAUUUAAUUU